UACGUAGGGGGGCUAGCGUUGUCCGGAAUCAUUGGGCGUAAAGAGCGUGUAGGCGGCCCGGUAAGUCCGCUGUGAAAGUCGGGGGCUCAACCCUCGAAUGCCGGUGGAUACUGUCGGGCUAGAGUGCGGAAGAGGCGAGUGGAAUUCCUGGUGUAGCGGUGAAAUGCGCAGAUAUCAGGAGGAACACCAACGGCGAAGGCAGCUCUCUGGGACGUUACUGACGCUGAGACGCGAAAGCGUGGGGAGCAAACAGG
rnacentral:rRNA from 1 species